rnacentral:rRNA from 1 species
GGGUUGUGAGGUUAAGCGACUAAGCGUACACGGUGGAUGCCCUGGCAGUCAGAGGCGAUGAAGGACGUGCUAAUCUGCGAAAAGCGUCGGUAAGGUGAUAUGAACCGUUAUAACCGGCGAUGUCCGAAUGGGGAAACCCAGUGCAAUUCGUUGCACUAUCGUUAACUGAAUACAUAGGUUAACGAGGCGAACCGGGGGAACUGAAACAUCUAAGUACCCCGAGGAAAAGAAAUCAACCGAGAUUCCCCCAGUAGCGGCGAGCGAACGGGGAGCAGCCCAGAGUCUGAAUCAGCUUGUGUGUUAGUGGAACGGUCUGGAAAGUCCGACGGUACAGGGUGAUAGUCCCGUACACCAAAAUGCACAGGUUGUGAACUCGAAGAGUAGGGCGGGACACGUGGUAUCCUGUCUGAAUAUGGGGGGACCAUCCUCCAAGGCUAAAUACUCCUGACUGACCGAUAGUGAACCAGUACCGUGAGGGAAAGGCGAAAAGAACCCCGGCGAGGGGAGUGAAAAAGAACCUGAAACCGUGUACGUACAAGCAGUGGGAGCACCUUCGGGUGUGACUGCGUACCUUUUGUAUAAUGGGUCAGCGACUUAUAUUCUGUAGCAAGGUUAACCGUAUAGGGGAGCCGCAGGGAAACCGAGUCUUAACUGGGCGUUAAGUUGCAGGGUAUAGACCCGAAACCCGGUGAUCUAGCCAUGGGCAGGUUGAAGGUUGGGUAACACUAACUGGAGGACCGAACCGACUAAUGUUGAAAAAUUAGCGGAUGACUUGUGGCUGGGGGUGAAAGGCCAAUCAAACCGGGAGAUAGCUGGUUCUCCCCGAAAGCUAUUUAGGUAGCGCCUCGUGAACUCAUCUUCGGGGGUAGAGCACUGUUUCGGCUAGGGGGUCAUCCCGACUUACCAACCCGAUGCAAACUACGAAUACCGAAGAAUGUUAUCACGGGAGACACACGGCGGGUGCUAACGUCCGUCGUGAAGAGGGAAACAACCCAGACCGCCAGCUAAGGUCCCAAAGUCAUGGUUAAGUGGGAAACGAUGUGGGAAGGCACAGACAGCCAGGAUGUUGGCUUAGAAGCAGCCAUCAUUUAAAGAAAGCGUAAUAGCUCACUGGUCGAGUCGGCCUGCGCGGAAGAUGUAACGGGGCUAAACCAUGCACCGAAGCUGCGGCAGCGACACUAUGUGUUGUUGGGUAGGGGAGCGUUCUGUAAGCCUGCGAAGGUGACCUGUGAGGGUUGCUGGAGGUAUCAGAAGUGCGAAUGCUGACAUAAGUAACGAUAAAGCGGGUGAAAAGCCCGCUCGCCGGAAGACCAAGGGUUCCUGUCCAACGUUAAUCGGGGCAGGGUGAGUCGACCCCUAAGGCGAGGCCGAAAGGCGUAGUCGAUGGGAAACAGGUUAAUAUUCCUGUACUUGGUGUUACUGCGAAGGGGGGACGGAGAAGGCUAUGUUAGCCGGGCGACGGUUGUCCCGGUUUAAGCAUGUAGGCUGGUUGUCCAGGCAAAUCCGGAUAAUCAAGGCUGAGGUGUGAUGACGAGGCACUACGGUGCUGAAGUAACAAAUGCCCUGCUUCCAGGAAAAGCCUCUAAGCAUCAGGUAACAUCAAAUCGUACCCCAAACCGACACAGGUGGUCAGGUAGAGAAUACCAAGGCGCUUGAGAGAACUCGGGUGAAGGAACUAGGCAAAAUGGUGCCGUAACUUCGGGAGAAGGCACGCUGGUGUGUAGGUGAAGUCCCUGCGGAUGGAGCUGAGACCAGUCGAAGAUACCAGCUGGCUGCAACUGUUUAUUAAAAACACAGCACUGUGCAAACACGAAAGUGGACGUAUACGGUGUGACGCCUGCCCGGUGCCGGAAGGUUAAUUGAUGGGGUUAUCCGUAAGGAGAAGCUCUUGAUCGAAGCCCCGGUAAACGGCGGCCGUAACUAUAACGGUCCUAAGGUAGCGAAAUUCCUUGUCGGGUAAGUUCCGACCUGCACGAAUGGCGUAAUGAUGGCCAGGCUGUCUCCACCCGAGACUCAGUGAAAUUGAACUCGCUGUGAAGAUGCAGUGUACCCGCGGCAAGACGGAAAGACCCCGUGAACCUUUACUAUAGCUUGACACUGAACAUUGAGCCUUGAUGUGUAGGAUAGGUGGGAGGCUUUGAAGCGUGGACGCCAGUCUGCGUGGAGCCAACCUUGAAAUACCACCCUUUAAUGUUUGAUGUUCUAACGUUGGCCCCUUACCGGGGUUGCGGACAGUGUCUGGUGGGUAGUUUGACUGGGGCGGUCUCCUCCCAAAGCGUAACGGAGGAGCACGAAGGUUAGCUAAUCCUGGUCGGACAUCAGGAGGUUAGUGCAAUGGCAUAAGCUAGCUUGACUGCGAGCGUGACGGCGCGAGCAGGUGCGAAAGCAGGUCAUAGUGAUCCGGUGGUUCUGAAUGGAAGGGCCAUCGCUCAACGGAUAAAAGGUACUCCGGGGAUAACAGGCUGAUACCGCCCAAGAGUUCAUAUCGACGGCGGUGUUUGGCACCUCGAUGUCGGCUCAUCACAUCCUGGGGCUGAAGUAGGUCCCAAGGGUAUGGCUGUUCGCCAUUUAAAGUGGUACGCGAGCUGGGUUUAGAACGUCGUGAGACAGUUCGGUCCCUAUCUGCCGUGGGCGCUGGAGAAUUGAGGGGGGCUGCUCCUAGUACGAGAGGACCGGAGUGGACGCAUCACUGGUGUUCGGGUUGUCAUGCCAAUGGCACUGCCCGGUAGCUAAAUGCGGAAGAGAUAAGUGCUGAAAGCAUCUAAGCACGAAACUUGCCCCGAGAUGAGUUCUCCCUGAGACUAUAAGUCUCCUGAAGGAACGUUGAAGACGACGACGUUGAUAGGCCGGGUGUGUAAGCGCAGCGAUGCGUUGAGCUAACCGGUACUAAUGAACCGUGAGGCUUAACCUUACAACGCCGAAG